GGAGAGGUGGCGAGUAGUUUAAGCCAGAUUGAGAUAAUUUUAGAAUUACCUGAAUUCACCCGAUUUAUCAUGCCGUAGGUUCGAAUCCUGCUCUCUCCGCCA
rnacentral:tRNA from 1 species